rnacentral:siRNA from 1 species
AGCUGUUAUAUAAACGAUUCUACU